GGUCUCCCAGGCAUCCAGCGCCUCCUAGAGCUUGCUGGGCAGGCUGCACCUCAUCUGGGCAGGCAUAGAGCUGAUGAAAUGCUGGAGCAGUGCAUGGCAAACAUACACCCCUCCCCCACCACAGUGUCUUCUGAAACAUUUGGGGCUGACACAAGACCCUUUAGUGUUUGGAAUGACCUCUUUCCUGCAGACCUCUUCCCCUAUCCCUAACACAUGCAUGGAAAAGGUUUGUCAGGCUGGUUUCCCGAGCCUCCGCCUCAACAUCAUACUCACUCUUUUGGGUUUAGCCCAGUGUCGUUUAGCAAAUUUCUCCAGCUGCAGGGAAGGAUCAGAGUACCUUUUUUUUUUUUUUCCUCCUUGAGCCAGGACUGUACAAGGCAAUGGCCAAAUGUAGUUGAAUUCAGCCUACCAUCCUUUGCUGAUGACUCAGCUCUAUGCCAAGUACGGGAGACACAGAGAUGGGUCAGCCCCAGCCCCCAUCCUCAGGAAGCCUAUAGUCAGGGGAAUGUUGUAGGGGGAGGUAAUAGAGGGCAAUUACCUUCAGGGCUCCUGGUGGCUGCUAGUCCCUAUCAUACCUUGAUGUGAGUUAGAAGACGGUGCCCUUUCCAGGUGAUUCAGACCCACACUAGAAUGCGUAGCUUUGUGAGUGACACACAGGUUGGAUUUUGGCACCCCUUUCCCCUUGGCCAGGUGCCCUGCUGCACAGCCAUGUGCUGCAGCCUCGAGGGACACACAGACCAGUGUUUCCUUCAGCUUCUUCCUGGAGAGGAAGCACCAGGUCAUGUUUCCAAGCUUCUGGUCAACUCCAGGCACCACCUCCCAGCUCCCAAACAUGGCCAAGUGAGUGCUUCUCUGCAGGGCCCCUUUCCCUUCUGGAGUCAGUCUGUCCAGGUGAGACCUUGAAGUGAAACUAGAGGUGGUGGAGCCUCACUAGGCCCCAGGCACCAGCCUACAGUGCUGGCGGUUUCUGUACCAAGCAUUUGGGGCCUGCGCUGGCCAAGCCGUCCAUCACCGGGACUUUGUAGUGCACCCUGUGGGUGGCGUGUGGACACCAGUCUUGACAGGAAGGAAGAGCAUGGCUUGGUGAAAACCCACUGAGCAGACGGCCAGCUGGCCCUCCUCAGCAUUCCACCCAGGGGAAGAGUUCAGUCCCCACGAAAAUAAGGACUGAGUUAUUUGGCUGCACCUCAGCGUCAAAGCUCAGCCCUGCUAGAGUGGGUUCACCUGGCUGUUGGUUUUGUGGGAGAGUUCCUGACAAGCUGGUUCCUACGUGGUGCAGUAAAAGGAAUUCUGUCCUGGAAGUCCCCAAUGCCACCUCUCAGUCCUGGCUGUCACCAGUCACCUGGGGGACUUGGGCAAGCUACUCAACCUCUGGGGCUCAGUUUCCCUAACUGUAAAAUAGGAUUGUAAUCCCUUCCUUUCCUGACGCAGGAACUGUUAUAAGGCCCAGAUGAGACGAAAGUCAGCGGUCAGGGCUCUAAGUUGAAAAUGGCUGCAUGGGUGUGGCCCUGCCACUGCAGGGAUGGCCCAAGGUCACACAGAAAGUUUGCUGCGGGAGAAGCCCUCCCCACCAGUCUGCAUCACUUGCCCUGCUUCUCACUUAGGUAGAUGUCAACCAGAAUGAGACACAGCUAAUUUGGCUUUGAUGACCUAGCUGAGCAGGAAAUUUAGACACGAUUUAGGAGUAUCAUGCCCAAAAAUAGUGGUCCCAUCAACCAGGACACAGGGAAGACAUGGAUAUUGUCAGUGAGUGGUGGAGGCGGACAUCUUGGACCCUCAUAGGUCUGGAGUCACAUCUCCCAUCUGUCAGAACCCCACAGAGGCCAAGGGGCCUUAGCUCUGACCCCAGGUUAAAGAGAGCCACCAGCCCCCAGGCUCAGGGAGCUGAAAUCACCCAUCUGCAGAAAAUCUAAGGGCAAGGAGAAAUAGAAAUUGCCUGUUCCUUCCCUUGAAAGUGUAAGGCCUCUUGCAGGAUCAGCUGGAGCCACCACAGCUUCUCAGUGACAUUGGGAGGGUUUCAGGCCCAGGGAAAACCUAAGCCUUUUGCCCUGAGAGCUGAGCCACAGCGGAUGCAUCCCCCAGUGGCGUCAGCAGUCCAGAGCGGCAGCUUCUCUCCUGCCAGUCACUGGGGACUGGUUGUUCUCCAUCCAUCCAGGAGGAAGGGUUUAGGUCCCAGUCUUACACUCUUACAGGGUCUCAUGGACAUAGGCCUAUGCCUGUUGUGAUACGUAUAUUUUUUAAACUCAAAAGGACCAAAACAGACUCCUGAACCCUCAUCUAUACGGCCUUACGGCCUGCAUUGGGCCUGGUGUGUCUUCCUGGCCCAGGCAGCUCCAUCACUUCUGCCAUCCCUUCUGGACUAAAGUUGCAGGAUCCCCGCCUCUACCACUUCCCCAGAGGGUCACUGCACAGCGGCUUCAAAGAGAGGCCCUGUUGAAGGGGAAACAUCCUCCCCCCAUCAUACUCCCAACUCGUCACCCCAAAAGGGAAGUUAAAGCACAGGCCUGUGGGGCCCAUGGUUUGUAGACACUGAUACAGUGGUUUUCAAACCAGGUGCUGCGGAACCCCUGGUAUUCCAUAGAGGUUUGUCAGGGGAUGCUAAGGUGGGAAGAUGGGAGUGGAGGUAAAGGAUAGGUUUCCAGCCCUCCUCCCAUUUCCACCUCCACCAGAACAACUCUACUUUUAUUUGUCUUGCCUACUGAGAUUUCAUUUUCAAGCUUUCUUUGAAGAAAAACUUCAAACCACCAUCUCCAGGUUUGAUCUUAGACCAGCCAGCACAGGUUCUAUUCUCGCUGCUCAUGUUGGAAUGGCUCCAGCAUUCCAGUACAAAGUGUCUUUGUGUUGGAACCUGACACACACACACACACACACACACACACACACACACGUACAUAGUUGAUGUUUUUUCUAGCCAACCCACCCUGAAGCUCUGGCCAAGAUUUGAUUUGAACAGGGACCUGGUGCUCAGUGGGGAUGGGUCUUGACUCUGAUAUUGGCCCAUGAGGCAUGGGGAGCUCUGCAGCAAGGAAACAGGCUCAAUCCCCCACCUAGGACUUGUGUCUGCACCCCUGUCUGGCACCCCACUUUCCUGGCCCAGGCCCAAGGGACAGCAGGAGAAGCAGUGUGAUGGAGGGAGAGCCUAGGGUUAAAUUCAUCUUUACACAGAGCCAGAUGGAUGGACAUCUUGGCUCACGUAAAAGACAGACUCAGGGAGGAUUUUGUGACAAAAGUCCCUCCUUUGAGGGCAGGAUUCCCCCAGGAAUCCUGUACACUUUAGUGAGACCUGGAUCAGCCCUUGGUACAAAGUCCUGCCUGCCCUGCCCCCCACCCCCACCCCGCAAGGAAUUCUAGGUGAAAAUGUGAAGCUCAGGGCACAGCAAGCACAUGACAUGGGUGUAUUACAUUAGGUCCGAGUGUGUCCUUAGUUUCCCUGUGUGUAAAAUGAGGCUAGUGCCAGUCUCUUCCCACCUCACUGGGACAAUUGCAAGGGUCAUAGGAGAGUUGGGUAUGAUAGGUGGUCAUAUGAGGUGGUGGGUAUAAGAAGUGGGUGCCUCACAUACUCGGGGUGUGGUCCUGACCUGCAUGGCAGAUGAGGAGAGCACUUGGGAAUGAGCAUAGGAAGUGCUGUCUUCCCGGGCAUCUCUGCUCCGUGUUAAGGUCUAGCCACAGACGCUGUGGGACCUGCCUCUUCCUAUGGAAUGGGGGCCUGCAUGGAUUGUGUCCUGGGGCAGGAGUGAGGGAUGGCUGGGAAGAAUCUGCAGCUCUGUGGCCCUUGUGUCGAGUGAUUAUUUUGUGACACUCUCAUUCCUGGACCACCUGCCAGGUUUAUCUGUUAUACCUGUGGCAUUCUUAUGUCAGACAAAUUAUUAUAGUUUAUUCAACUCUAACAAAUGAACAAAAGAAUAAUAAAUAGGAAGCCAUUAAAGGUCUUUUGUGGCAGAGGA